rnacentral:rRNA from 1 species
CCUACGGGAGGCAGCAGUGGGGAAUAUUGCGCAAUGGGGGAAACCCUGACGCAGCAACGCCGCGUGAGUGAGGAAGGACUUCGGUCUGUAAAGCUCUGUUAAUGUGGAAAAAUGGUAGUUGGUCUAAUAGGCCGAUUAUUUGAUGGUACACAUAGAGGAAGCACCGGCUAACUUCGUGCCAGCAGCCGCGGUAAUACGAAGGGUGCAAGCGUUGUUCGGAUUUAUUGGGCGUAAAGCGCGCGUAGGCGGACCUGUAAGUCAGAUGUGAAAUCUCGGGGCUCAACCUCGAAACUGCGUCUGAAACUGCAGGUCUAGAAUCUCGGAGGGGGAAGGGGAAUUUCGCAUGUAGGGGUAAAAUCCGUAGAUAUGCGAAGGAACACCAGAGGCGAAGGCGCCUUCCUGGACGAGUAUUGACGCUGAGGCGCGAAAGCGUGGGGAUCAAACAGGAUUAGAUACCCUGGUAGUCCACGCUGUAAACUAUGAACACUAGGUAUUGGAGGAUUUGACCCCUUCAGUGCCGUAGCUAACGCGUUAAGUGUUCCGCCUGGGAAGUACGGUCGCAAGACAAAACUUAAAGGAAUUGACGGCUGAGAGNGCGAGACGACGACGAGGGAGAGG